GCAUUGGUGGUUCAGUGGUAGAAUUCUCGCCUGCCACGCGGGAGGCCCGGGUUCGAUUCCCGGUCGAGGGCA